GAAUAUUGGACAAUGGGGGGAACCCUGAUCCAGCCAUGCCGCGUGGGUGAAGAAGGCCUGUUGGUUGUAAAGCACUUUAAGCGAGGAAGAGGCUACCUGGACUAAGACGUUAGGAUAGUGGACGUUACUCGCCGAAUAAGCACCGGCUACCGCGGUGCCACCAGCCGAUGUAAUACAGUGGGUGGGAGAGUUAAUCGGAUUUACUGGGCGUAAAGCGUGCGUAGGGGGCCAAUUAAGUCAAAUGUGAAAGCCCCGAGCUUAACUUGGGAAUUGCAUUCGAUACUGGUUGGCUAGAGUAUGGGAGAGGAUGGUAGAAUUCCAGGUGUAGCGGUGAAAUGCGUAGAGAUCUGGAGGAAUACCGAUGGCGAAGGCAGCCAUCUGGCCUAAUACUGACGCUGAGGUACGAAAGCAUGGGGAGCAAACAG
rnacentral:rRNA from 1 species